rnacentral:tRNA from 1 species
GCCGUCGUAGCGCAAUGGUAGCGCGUCGCUUUCCUAUCUAUGUCAAUGACAGAGCGAGGUAAAGGCGAAGGUUGCGAGUUCGAUCCUCGUCGUCGGUA